AGAGUUUGAUCCUGGCUCAGGAUGAACGCUAGCGGCAGGCUUAACACAUGCAAGUCGAGGGGCAGCGAGAUCAGUGCUUGCACUGAUUGUCGGCGACCGGCGCACGGGUGCGUAACGCGUAUGCAACCUACCCAUUACAGGGGGAUAACACUGAGAAAUCGGUACUAAUACCCCAUAACAUCCAGGGAGGCAUCUUCUUGGGUUGAAAACUCCGGUGGUAAUGGAUGGACAUGCGUCGCAUUAGGUAGACGGCGGGGUAACGGCCCACCGUGCCGACGAUGCGUAGGGGUUCUGAGAGGAAGGCCCCCCACACUGGUACUGAGACACGGACCAGACUCCUACGGGAGGCAGCAGUGAGGAAUAUUGGUCAAUGGCCGAGAGGCUGAACCAGCCAAGUCGCGUGAGGGAAGAAUGUCCUAAGGAUUGUAAACCUCUUUUGUCGGGGAGCAAAAAGGCUCUGCGGAGUCGUAUUGAGAGUACCCGAAGAAAAAGCAUCGGCUAACUCCGUGCCAGCAGCCGCGGUAAUACGGAGGAUGCGAGCGUUAUCCGGAUUUAUUGGGUUUAAAGGGUGCGCAGGCGGCGUGUCAAGCAAGCGGUAAAAUAGCGGGGCUCAACCCCGUCGAGCCGUUUGAACUGGCGCGCUUGAGUUCAGGCGAGGUAGGCGGAAUUCGUGGUGUAGCGGUGAAAUGCAUAGAUAUCACGAAGAACUCCGAUUGCGAAGGCAGCUUACCAGUCUGCGACUGACGCUCAGGCACGAAAGUGUGGGUACCGAACAGGAUUAGAUACCCUGGUAGUCCACACAGUAAACGAUG
rnacentral:rRNA from 1 species